rnacentral:lncRNA from 1 species
GCCCAACAGUUGACAUGUCUAUUUUCAGAUUGUUUGCCUCAGUUUUUUAAUGUAUUCCUAUUUAUGCUUUGGGUAUUUUUUUCAGCUAAUGACAAGUAUUCUUGUCAAGUUACUUGCAGUCAUCCAAACGAAGGCACAGACUCAGGGGUCAGUCUCAACGCCCCAUCAACCAACAUGAAUAUAGUCAAUAACAAUAAACCAGCUUUGAAUACAAGGGUUGAAGUUGAGCAACUAGCAGAUAAGAUGGAUGCCACGAACAGCAAUAAUCUCCUACCCAAACCCAGCUUUGAAUCUUUCCCUAAACAACGCAAAGGACAAAAAGUUUCCGGGGAAGGAGAGAAAGGAAUUGAUUUAUCUUUGCUGGAUAUGAAGGAGUUUGGCAUGUCAUAUGACAAAGACACUGCAAAUAUGCGAAACAAUUUUUUUACUUUAGGCUUGUCUCAUGAUGAGAUUCAACAAACAUUAUCUGCUAAUUUACCUCUCUGUGAUAAUAGGUUUAGUAAUGCAGGUCAAAAAAUUCUUGGUGAUGAUGAUGUGUUGAUUAACUCUAUGGACUUUAUUGAUGUUGCUGUCUCAGAUGAUGAUGUGCUAGUCAAUCUAGAUGCAUUUGAUAUGCUGGGAGAUUUCCCGGAAUUGGAAAUUUUAGACUCCAACAAUCAUGACUCAAUUGUGGAUGGAAGUAACAGCAAUAAGAGCGAUGGUCAGAUUUCCAUGCAAACCACACCAAGCACUGGCAAAAGUCAAGAGCAAUCAUCUGCGAAGCAGUUCAGGCAGGGCAGUCUAAAUAUCUCGGAUUUCUCUCCGGACUGGGCCUACCCAGAGGUAAGGGUACUUCAUGCUAAAAAAAAAAAAAUGCCUGUCUAUAUGAACGAACGUCUUUUUGUAAAAAAUCCUCAAUGAAUCAAAA